rnacentral:ncRNA from 2 species
AGAGUUAAACAGUACGUGAAAUUGUUGAAAGGGAAACGAUUGAAGUCAGUCGUACCAGCGGGAAAUCAACCUUUCGAGUGGGGUUUUGGAGUUUUGAAGAGUGUCAAACCUUCGAGAUUUCAAAAUGUUCUCUCUUUUGGUGUACUUUCUCGCAGGUAGGUUAACAUCGAUUUUGAUCAUCAUAAAAGGAUUGGAGGAAUGUAGCUUCGAUCUCGUAUUGAAGUGUUAUAGCCUUUGGUAAAUGUGAUGAUUAGGAUCGAGGAUUGCAACGAAUACCCUUUUGGGCUAUCCGCCUGAUCUCUGAUACGUGGCCUUGGUAUCGAAAGCGUGCUUAUGGUAUUAAGGUAUACGGUCAAAAGGUUAGAACGGAUUAAAUUCGUUAAGGAUGUUGACGUAAUGGCUUUAAACGACC